UCGGGAAUCUUGCACAAUGGGCGAAAGCCUGAUGCAGCAACGCCGUGUGAGCGAGGAAGGUCUUCGGAUCGUAAAGCUCUGUUGUUGGGGACGAAGGGCGAAGGGUUAAUAGCCCCUAGCCUGACGGUACCCUUCGAGGAAGCCCCGGCUAACUCCGUGCCAGCAGCCGCGGUAAUACGGAGGGGGCAAGCGUUGUUCGGAAUUACUGGGCGUAAAGGGCGCGUAGGCGGUCUGUCGCGUCAGGUGUGAAAGCCCCGGGCUCAACCUGGGAGGUGCACUUGAUACGGGCGGACUGGAAUCCGGGAGAGGAUGGUGGAAUUCCCAGUGUAGAGGUGAAAUUCGUAGAUAUUGGGAAGAACACCGAUGGCGAAGGCAGCCAUCUGGCCCGGGAUUGACGCUGAGGCGCGAAAGCGUGGGGAGCAAACAGGAUUAGAUACCCCCGUAGUCC
rnacentral:rRNA from 1 species